UUACGGGGCCAGGGACGUUGGAGGGGUUUCCACGUGACUCCACCUCGAACACCGCUACAGAGCGUAUCUGGCUGGGUUGGGCACACACCGUCGCGGCGGCCCCUGAUGGCAUCCACAAAGGUCCAAGACCCUCCUAAGCUCCCAGCCGUAGCAGAACUACGUAUUUCAGCACCCGAACGACUAACAACCCAGCCGGCAUCUGCAGCGUAUAUCCAACGCAAUCAAACUUCACUCUGACAAGUAACUUCCUAUACACAACCACGCUGUCCUUUCGCCCGGACCAGCCCCGCACUCUUUCCGCCCGCAACCUAGCGGUCGCCGGAUCAGCAGAGCCUGCGGACUCUUCGGAGGCUGGUCUUCGUUGUGCUGCCCAAGGCGGAAGUUUACUUCCAGUAACUUCUACCUUCUCUCUUUAUAUCCUCCUCCAUGGCGUGGCUCGCCCAACCAUCGCUCGCCACGUCACUCACACAGCUGUGCCUUGUUUCAGCGAGUGCGGGGAUUCCCGGGGAACCCGGAAGUGCCGGUGUCUGUACAAACCGGUCCGGGCGGAACCUCUUCACUCUCCUUUUGGUUCCGCCCCGCAUAGUCACUCCGUGACAACUGUUUGCAUUUUUUCUCUCCUCAAUGUUCAAUACCCUUUUGCCAUUAAGCACACAGUGACUUUAAUUUAUAAAAUAUAUGCUUAAGUUUUAAUACCUGUACAAAACAAAUGUACAAUCAACUUGUGUAAAUUGUCAUUCUAUUUAAUAGAUUGUUCAUGAAUUGUCUUUAAAUGCAUUGUGAUUUCGGUAACACUUUACAAUAAGGUUCAUUAGUUAACAUUAGUUAAUGUAUUAACUAACUUGAACAAACCAUGAGCAAUACAUUUGUUACAGUAUUUAUUCAUCUUUGUUAAUGUUAGUUAAUUCAAAUUUAAGCUUUAAUUGCUUGUUCAUGUUAGUUCAGAG